GCGAACGGGGAGGAGCCCAGAGCCUGAAUCAGUGUGUGUGUUAGUGGAAGCGUCUGGAAAGGCGCGCGAUACAGGGUGACAGCCCCGUACACAAAAAUGCACAUACUGUGAGCUCGAUGAGUAGGGCGGGACACGUGGUAUCCUGUCUGAAUAUGGGGGGACCAUCCUCCAAGGCUAAAUACUCCUGACUGACCGAUAGUGAACCAGUACCGUGAGGG
rnacentral:rRNA from 1 species